rnacentral:rRNA from 1 species
UACGGGGGGGGCAAGCGUUGUUCGGAAUUACUGGGCGUAAAGGGCGCGUAGGCGGCCUUCUAAGUCAGACGUGAAAUCCCUCGGCUCAACCGAGGAACUGCGUCUGAUACUGGAAGGCUUGAAUCCGGGAGAGGGAUGUGGAAUUCCAGGUGUAGCGGUGAAAUGCGUAGAUAUCUGGAGGAAUACCGGUGGCGAAGGCGGCCUGCUGGGCAGUUACUGACACUGAGGCGCGACAGCGUGGGGAGCAAACAGG